rnacentral:rRNA from 1 species
UACGGAAGGCAGUAGUGGGGAAUAUUGCACAAUGGGCGCAAGCCUGAUGCAGCCAUGCCGCGUGUAUGAAGAAGGCCUUCGGGUUGUAAAGUACUUUCAGUCGUGAGGAAGGUGUUAAGGUUAAUAACCUUAGCAAUUGACGUUAGCGACAGAAGAAGCACCGGCUAACUCCGUGCCAGCAGCCGCGGUAAUACGGAGGGUGCGAGCGUUAAUCGGAAUUACUGGGCGUAAAGGGCACGCAGGCGGUUAAUUAAGUUGGAUGUGAAAUCCCCGGGCUUAACCUGGGAAUGGCAUUCAAGACUGGUUAGCUAGAGUCUUGUAGAGGGGGUAGAAUUCCAUGUGUAGCGGUGAAAUGCGUAGAGAUGUGGAGGAAUACCGGUGGCGAAGGCGGCCCCUGGACAAAGACUGACGCUCAUGUGCGAAAGCGUGGGGAGCGAAACAGGGAUUAGAUACC